UACGAAGGGGGCUAGCGUUGUUCGGAUUUACUGGGCGUAAAGCGCGUGUAGGCGGGUCGUUAAGUUAGGGGUGAAAUCCCGAGGCUCAACCUCGGAACUGCCUCUAAAACUGGCGACCUUGAGCAGAGGAGAGGCGAGCGGAAUUCCGAGUGUAGAGGUGAAAUUCGUAGAUAUUCGGAGGAACACCAGUGGCGAAGGCGGCUCGCUGGACUCUUGCUGACGCUGAGACGCGAAAGCGUGGGGAGCAAACAGG
rnacentral:rRNA from 1 species